rnacentral:rRNA from 1 species
CAAAAAUACCAUCCCAGUUCGGAUUGCAGUCUGCAACUCGACUGCAUGAAGCUGGAAUCGCUAGUAAUCGCGGAUCAGAAUGCCGCGGUGAAUACGUUCCCGGGUCUUGUACACACCGCCCGUCACACCAUGGGAGUCGGAUAUGCCCGAAGUCAGUGACCCAACCGCAAGGAGGGAGCUGCCGAAGGUGGAGCCGAUGACUGGGGUGAAGUCGUAACAAGGUAGC